rnacentral:rRNA from 1 species
UACGUAGGGUGCAAGCGUUGUUCGGAAUUAUUGGGCGUAAAGCGCGUGUAGGCGGUUUACUAAGUCUGGUGUGAAAGCCCGAAGCUUAACUUCGGAAGUGCACUGGAUACUGGUAAGCUAGAGGACGGAAGAGGAAAGCGGAAUUCCUGAAGUAGGGGUGAAAUCCGUAGAUAUCAGGAGGAACAUCGGUGGCGAAGGCGGCUUUCUGGUCCGUUACUGACGCUCAGACGCGAAAGCAUGGGUAGCAAACAGG